GAACGAGAUCUUAACCUGCUAAUUAGCGGUAAGUACACUAUAUUUUUAUUUGAAAUUGAAUAUAGGUAAUUAUACAUGUUUAUUCAGUGUUCAGAUUAGGAUAUUUUUUUUAUUAAAAUAUUCUUUUCCCUGUUUUACUAAUAAUUUGUUUUUUUUUACUCUAUUUCUCUCUUCUUUUAAGAAUGUACUUGCUUGAUUAAAUAAAGCUUCUUAGAGGAACAGUGUGUAUCUAACACAACCAUGUUUAAGGCAACAACAGGUCUGUGAUGUCCUUAGAUAAACUAGGCUGCACGCGUGCUACAAUGAUAUAUAUAACAAGUUGUUAAAAAAUGUACUUAUAAAUAAGUGUGUACAAUUUUUCCUGUAGUGAAAGGUAUAGGUAAUCUUUAUCAGUA
rnacentral:rRNA from 1 species